GAAAGCCGGAUGAAUCGAAAGGUUCCUGUCCGGUUUGGAGCCGGGGAAAAGCCGGAGAUCACGUCAAAGGCUUACCUAUGGCUAU
rnacentral:ncRNA from 1 species